rnacentral:rRNA from 1 species
CUACGUGCCAGCAGCCGCGGUAAUACGGAAGGUCCAGGCGUUAUCCGGAUUUAUUGGGUUUAAAGGGAGCGUAGGCUGGAGAUUAAGUGUGUUGUGAAAUGUAGACGCUCAACGUCUGAAUUGCAGCGCAUACUGGUUUCCUUGAGUACGCACAACGUUGGCGGAAUUUGUCGUGUAGCGGUGAAAUGCUUAGAUAUGACGAAGAACUCCGAUUGCGAAGGCAGCUGACGGGAGCGCAACUGACGCUUAAGCUCGAAGGUGCGGGUAUCAAACAGGAUUAGAUACCCUGGUAGUCCGCACAGUAAACGAUGGAUGCCCGCUGUUGGUACCUGGUAUCAGCGGCUAAGCGAAAGCAUUAAGCAUCCCACCUGGGGAGUACGCCGGCAACGGUGAAACUCAAAGGAAUUGACGGGGGCCCGCACAAGCGGAGGAACAUGUGGUUUAAUUCGAAGCAACGCGAAGAACCUUACCAGGUCUUGACAUCCCUCUGACCGCUCUAGAGAUAGAGUUUUCC